rnacentral:misc_RNA from 1 species
GAUGAAGAACGUAGCGAAAUGCGAUAAGUAGUGUGAAUUGCAGAAUUCAGUGAAUCAUCGAAUCUUUGAACGCACAUUGCGCCCCUUGGUAUUCCAUGGGGCAUGCCUGUUCGAGCGUCAUUUGUACCUUCAAGCUCUGCUUGGUGUUGGGUGUUUGUCUCGCCUCUGCGUGUAGACUCGCCUCAAAAUAAUUGGCAGCCGGCGUAUUGAUUUCGGAGCGCAGUAUAUCUCGCGCUUUGCACUCAUAACGACGACGUCCAAAAGUACAUUUUUACACUCUUGACCUCGGAUCAGGUAGGGAUACCCGCUGAACUUAAGCAUAUCAAUAAGCGGAGGA